GCAUCCUUAAUCACAAUUAUUAUUAACGAAUAAUAUUAAUGUAAUUUUAAAAUUGUAGAGUUGCGUACAAGCAGUGUUGUAUGCAAGAGAGAGAACAAACAUAGAAUGAGGGGAAGUGUGAGAACGUUGACUAAAAGAGAGGGAAUUGUGGGAGAGAACAUUGGUCACUGUUGGAAGUUAUAUAAAGAGAACGUUGGUGAGAAUAGGCAGAUGGUGAAUAAACGGUGACGAGGAAACAUCAACGAUACCGUGUUUAUCAUUUAAAAGAGGAGGAUUCUACAAUUGGCGCAGCCGGUAAACGAAGCACAGAAAAGAGGAAAUUUGAAACGAGAAAGAUGGAUACUGAACAUUGGCCUUUGCAGCCAUUCAAUGAUAUUGCGGAUGCAUCGGAUCUACGUCGCGAGUGGGAAGAAUGGCAUAGAGCAUUUGAACUGAUUGUCACACUGAAGAAAAUCGAAACACAAAGCGAGAAAUUAGCAUACAUGCUGGCACGUGGAGGUCGGGGCUUGCAGCGGAUAUAUUUCAACUUAGCAGCGGUGCCAGGAGAACAACAUCCAAGGGCAGUUUCGAUACCGUUUAAACAAUUACCAGUACCGGAAUACGACAAUGCCAUCAAACGACUGAACCACUUCUUUCUCGG